rnacentral:rRNA from 1 species
AUUGAACGCUGGCGGCAUGCCUUACACAUGCAAGUCGAACGGCAGCACGGGGGCAACCCUGGUGGCGAGUGGCGGACGGGUGAGUAAUGCAUCGGAACGUGCCCUGAAGUGGGGGAUAACGCAGCGAAAGCUACGCUAAUACCGCAUAUUCUGUGAGCAGGAAAGCAGGGGAUCGCAAGACCUUGCGCUUUGGGAGCGGCCGAUGUCGGAUUAGCUAGUUGGUGGGUAAAGGCCUACCAAGGCGACGAUCCGUAGCGGGUCUGAGAGGAUGAUCCGCCACACUGGGACUGAGACACGGCCCAGACUCCUACGGGAGGCAGCAGUGGGGAAUUUUGGACAAUGGGCGAAAGCCUGAUCCAGCCAUGCCGCGUGAGUGAAGAAGGCCUCGGUUGUAAG